UUGAAGAUAGAAGGACCUCUCGUUGCCUCUUGCUUCUUCUUCAUUUUUUUUUCACAGACCCCCUUUCUUCAAGGGAGAACAACAGUAGUUUCUCUGCUCAUAACCAAAAAUCAAGGACACCCCUACAACGAACGGCGCUCCUGGCUGCUCCAUUCUUCAUCUUCAAAACCAACAAACCCCUUUUUUUUCUUCCAUUUCCAUGAAGGCUCCAAAGAAAUACGCACUCCCUCACUCACUGAUACCACACACUUUCUGAAAUUUAAAAAGAAAGGAGGAAAAGCUUUGAAUUAAAAUUUCGGAUCAGCGAUGCUAAGAACUUAACAAAAAGAGGAUAGAAAACAAGGCUUCAUCCCUGCUUGAAAUUGCUGUCUUCUUCUUUCAUAUUUCUGGGUUUCAAUAAUGUGUGCUUGAAGCUUGUUGUGGCUCGCUGCUGAGUCUGCUAACCUCCACUUCUCUGGCCCUUUAUUUGGCAUCUUGUUUUCCUUUCUGAUCGAAUCCAGAUCACUGUUUCUAGUUCUGACAUUGAGAAAAACAGCUGAGAUGGUAUUAGUAACAUUUUGAGUAUCCCUCAUGGAAAAAUUGCUAAGGUGUGAAGCACACAGGUACAAAUUUGCAUCCUUUCUAAUGUGCAUAACUGUUUGGCUUUAUAAAAUGUCAUCUGUUGUUCUAUGCAUCCAUGUUACAAGUAAUACACUUGUUCGUAACUCUCUAUUGACCUUUGAAAUGUUCUGCUGGUAGUAUGGAAAUAAGUGCCCCAAUAUUCUUCCCUCUGGUCACUUUUGUAAGAAACUGCAAAUUCUGUUUGUACGACUCAUGACAAAAUUAGCUCGUAUUGGCCCUCAUAA